UACGUAGGGGGCAAGCGUUGUCCGGAUUUAUUGGGCGUAAAGAGCGUGUAGGCGGCCAUACAGGUCCGUUGUGAAAACUGGAGGCUUAACCUCCAGACGUCGAUGGAAACCGUAUGGCUAGAGUCCGGAAGAGGAGAGUGGAAUUCCUGGUGUAGCGGUGAAAUGCGCAGAUAUCAGGAAGAACACCCGUGGCGAAGGCGGCUCUCUGGGACGGUACUUACGCUGAGACGCGAAAGCGUGGGGAGCGAACAGG
rnacentral:rRNA from 1 species